GUGGGGAAUAUUGGACAAUGGGCGAAAGCCUGAUCCAGCCAUGCCGCGUGUGUGAAGAAGGUCUUCGGAUUGUAAAGCACUUUAAGUUGGGAGGAAGGGCAGUAAGUUAAUACCUUGCUGUUUUGACGUUACCGACAGAAUAAGCACCGGCUAACUUCGUGCCAGCAGCCGCGGUAAUACGAAGGGUGCAAGCGUUAAUCGGAAUUACUGGGCGUAAAGCGCGCGUAGGUGGUUUUGUAAGUUGGAGGUGAAAUCCCCGGGCUCAACCUGGGAACUGCCUCCAAAACUGCAUGACUAGAGUAAGGUAGAGGGUAGUGGAAUUUCCUGUGUAGCGGUGAAAUGCGUAGAUAUAGGAAGGAACACCAGUGGCGAAGGCGACUACCUGGACUGAUACUGACACUGAGGUGCGAAAGCGUGGGGAGCAAACAGGAUUAGAUACCCCGGUAGUCC
rnacentral:rRNA from 1 species